rnacentral:rRNA from 1 species
AUAGGUGACAGGUGCUGCAUGGCUGUCGUCAGCUCGUGUCGUGAGAUGUUGGGUUAAGUCCCGCAACGAGCGCAACCCUCGCCUUUAGUUGCCAGCAUUUAGUUGGGUACUCUAAAGGAACCGCCGGUGAUAAGCCGGAGGAAGGUGGGGAUGACGUCAAGUCCUCAUGGCCCUUACGCGUUGGGCUACACACGUGCUACAAUGGCGACUACAGUGGGCAGCC